GCCGCAAUAACACCGAAAUAUUUCAGUGUGAGAAAAAUAUAGUGGCCAAGAAAUUGUGUUGAAUACAACCGAAAAUUCAAAUUCACAACAGAGAAAUUAAAGAAAACGAAAGAGCAAAGCUGUGGCCAGCGGCGCGAAGACGGUGGACGAGUUGGCGAUAAUCGAGAAAAAUGGCUAAUGAAGCUGCCGCGAGUGGUGGUGUCUCCUGCGUUGGAGUUGCUGAUGAGUUUGGACCAUCAUCGGGGGGGUCGUCUCCGAAAAGUAGGAUGAAGUUCUUGUGUAGCUAUGGCGGGAAAAUCUUGCCGAGAGCCGCUGAUGGCCACUUAAAGUAUGUCGGCGGUGAGACGCGUGUCAUUGCAGUUCCGAGGGAUAUUAGCUUCUCAGGUUAGGCGCCCAGUUUGUUAAUACAGAACUACUGUUCUUAUACAAAUUUUCUGAAGUAAAGAACUUUAUGUGAUAAAUUAAUUCACAAAAAGUCUGAAAUUUUAAAUUUCUCACUGGAAGUAUCGAUCUAUCUAUCUAUUGCUUAAGAGAUUGAAAAGAAAUAGAAAGCUUGCACUUGUUUUGCUCUUUUCUUGUAAUAGCUGAUAGCUCCUUGCUUCUGUUGAGAAGAAACUUUGUGAUAUUGGGAUAAAUUGCAUUUGCCAAAAAAGUUAGAAGAAUGAUGGUGUUGGAUGAUGAGUGACCUUUAGACUUUAUGGGUAUGUGUAAUCAUGAUUGAGAAAUGUGGUGGAUUAUCUUGGGAGAACGGAGAUGAGGUUGUUAAAACCUUAUUCACUUCUAAAAUUUUUGGUGCUUCUGCCAUGCCCUUGGGCUUCAUUUGUCAAAUCUAUUGUAGUCAUUUGGUACCUCACAAUAACAAUAAAAGCUUUCCAUUGUUUUACACAGUUUAGACGAAACAGAAAGGGCUCAGGCUAGGAACAUAUGUAUUUGGAUGCUUUAGCUGUGAUAAUUAGUGAAAGAUGGAUAAAUCUGGCUUGUUGCUGGAUCCUUCGAUGGGAAAAUGGAAGAGCAAAGAAAUAAGAUGACUGUUAUGGUAAAAAAAGAGGAGUUAAAGCCAAUAAGAUAGCUGCAUGAAGUAAGGACCUAUCUGAAGUCAAUUUAGUGAUAUAAUUAACAGUUGUUAUGAAAAAAAUGGUGAUCGAAGCAUUAAGAAAGGCUCUUGUUUAAGGAUCCUAUUAAUGGUCAAGCCAAGUUCUAGUUUUCUGGAGUUUUAUUAAACUUGGUUUCUUUAAUGGUCAAACAAGUUUGGCUGGGCUUCCCCUUUUCCUAAGUAAAUUUUUGUAUGGGGUUCUUUUUUUCAAAUGGAAUCUGUUGAAAGUAUAACUUUUUGAUUGUUAUAGUGGAGUUAAAUUUUUAUUGUUAUGGUGACUCUUUUACUUGUUUUGGUUCCCAUUUAGAAUGGUUUUCUAAUUCAUGGCAAUGUAUAUAACAUACAGAGUUAAUGAAGAAGCUUAGUUCAGAAUUUGAAGGGGACAUGGUCCUCAAGUACCAGGUGAUACCUGAAAAUCUUGAUGUGUUGGUGUCUGUAAGAACUGAUGAGGAUAUAAAGCACAUGCUUGAUGAAUAUGCUCGCCAUGAAAGUGAAGGAACUGCAAAGCUUCGAGCUUUCCUGUUCCCUUCCAAUCCUGUCAUACUUGAGAACCAAAAUGCCUCUACAGAUCCUCACGCAACAGAACAACAUUACAUCGAUGCCAUCAAUAACACAGUUCGUUCAUUUGCCAAUUUUAGACCUUCCCCUAUCAAUGCAAAUCGCCCCACCUUUAGCAUUUCUGCUUGCUCUUCUCCAAAAGGCAAUUCCUCUGAUAGUAGUAAUUUUGAUUUUGUGCCCCAUGAACCCACUUUCAUGAAUAACUAUCAUAAUACUAGACGUCCAUUGCAUAAAGUACAUAGCUCUCCUAGUCUCUACAAUCUCAAUACCAAUCACCACCAGACCAACAACCAGCACAGCAAUCACCAUUUCUAUCAGCAGCAUCACCAAUACUAUCAACACCACCAGCAACACAAUCCACAUGGUUACCAAUCUUCUAGACCACCUCAUGACCCUCACCGGGUGACACAAUCUUCGUCAUUUGGAUGGCCAGACAUUGGGAGGGCCUCUUUUACUCCCCUAAACCAAUAUUAUCCAAACGCACGAAGUGCAGGAAACUCAAAUGUACAUAAUAUGUGGAGUGGAAACUUGAGCAAACGUGGGUACUAUGAUGAUCACUCUCUAUAUGGAUCUAGAACAGUGAGAUUUGAAAGUCUUCCUCCAAGUCCCAGGAGUACAACUGGAGUAGAGCAUAACUUUCUGAUUUAAAGAGUUUAAAGAUGGUAUACAAUUUUUUUUUUUUAAUUAUACUUAUCCUUGCUUGUUAUCCCUAUAUAAAAAGAAAAAGAGAAAAAAAAGAGAAAGAAAGAUGCAUGUUUGCCUUUUGUUUUGGGUGUGUUACAUGGUUGUAUUGUAGGGUUGAGUAGGUUUAAUAUGUUACUUGUGAAGGAACCGUGGAAACCUCACGGAAUUAAGAAGCUAUAGUUAUUAUUGUUUGAAGAUUUUCUCCUUUCUUAUCUUGCAAUGGAUCUUUUAUUGCUCUUCUGCAUCAGGCCAUAUAGCUUUAAGUCCUUUGAAACCCUUUUCUUUCAUGUCAUUUUAGGUUUUUCCCUCGUUCUUUUUUUUUCCUAUUAACUUUUCACACUUUUAUACUCGAG
rnacentral:misc_RNA from 1 species